rnacentral:rRNA from 1 species
UACGUAGGCAGCGAGCGUUGUUCGGAGUUACUGGGCGUAAAGAGUGCGUAGGCGGUUGACUAAGUUUGGUGUGAAAUCUCCCGGCUCAACUGGGAGGGUGCGCCGAAAACUGGUUGGCUGGAGUGUGGGAGAGGUCAGCGGAAUUCCUGGUGUAGCGGUGAAAUGCGUAGAUAUCAGGAGGAACACCGGUGGCGAAGGCGGGUCUCUGGGCCGAUAUCGACGCUGAGGAGCGAAAGCGUGGGGAGCGAACAGG